GCUUCCCCUCCCCAUAGACCACGCGGCCGGUCACGAUGGUGACAAAGACUGAAGAGUACACCAAAGCUGGCCUCACAGCUGUGUGGUGUCGUGUGGAGCGUAUGGGCCAGAUCCAAAUAGGC
rnacentral:snoRNA from 1 species